AUUCGAAAUGGCAGAUUUUAUGCUAUUAAUUUUUAAUGUUAUCAACAAUGAAGAAAGGAUUAGAAUGAAUUUAAACAGAAGACAACUUCGUGAUAUGAGUGAUCCAUUUUCGCUUACUGAAGAAACCUUCAAAGGAAUUUAUAGAUUGUCCCGGCAGCUGACUCGUGAUUUGAUGACAGACUUAUCACCCUUUCUGCAGGAUAAUGAAAGAGUUUUGGGCAUUCCUAAACAUUUAAAAAUUUUGGCCACAUUAAAUUUUUUGGCUCAAGGGUCUUAUCAGAAGGCUGUUGGACAGGACUUCUUCUGUCCAAUGAGCCAAAAGUCUGUAAGUCGAUGUGUAGAGGAAGUAACAGGUGCUUUAGUUGAACA